rnacentral:rRNA from 1 species
UGGGGAAUAUUGCACAAUGGGCGCAAGCCUGAUGCAGCCAUGCCGCGUGUAUGAAGAAGGCCUUCGGGUUGUAAAGUACUUUCAGUCGGGAGGAAGGUGUCAAGGUUAAUAACCUUGGCAAUUGACGUUACCGACAGAAGAAGCACCGGCUAACUCCGUGCCAGCAGCCGCGGUAAUACGGAGGGUGCAAGCGUUAAUCGGAAUUACUGGGCGUAAAGCGCACGCAGGCGGUUGAUUGAGUCAGAUGUGAAAUCCCCGGGCUUAACCCGGGAAUUGCAUCUGAUACUGGUCAGCUAGAGUCUUGUAGAGGGGGGUAGAAUUCCAUGUGUAGCGGUGAAAUGCGUAGAGAUGUGGAGGAAUACCGGUGGCGAAGGCGGCCCCCUGGACAAAGACUGACGCUCAGGUGCGAAAGCGUGGGGAGAAAACAGG